ACUGAUGGUUUGUAACGUGCGUUGGAGGGGCGGGGGCGAGAUGGGGAGGGAGGAGCUAGGGCUCUCACGCCUUGCGUGCAGGUGCUUUCAGUGGAUGAGACGUGUGCAGCCGCGUGCUUUGCUUUGCUUUGCUUCCCACAGUCUGUGAGACAGAGAAAAACAGUCGAGACAAGCUUCACACACACCUGCCCCGACUGGACUCUAAGACAAGGAGAAGGAGCGCCGCCCCAGGCGGUGGUGACCAGAGGAGGGAGGUGAAGUGAGAAAAAUGAAGUUGACAGGGGAACCUGUAACUCAGGACAGGCCACACACAGCUCACAAACAAGCCACUUACAGGGGGUUGAUUCGGCUGAUCUGGCUGGCUAGGCGGGUGUCCCCUUCCUCCCUCACCGCUCCAUGUGUGUCCUUCCCGAAGCUGUGCGCUCGGUCGAAGAGGACAGCCUUCCCCGAAUAGAGACAGACCGGUCUUGGGUCGAGGGUAUGAGUAACUGCGCUCCCCUGCUAGAACCUCCAAACAAGCUCUCAAGAAGUUAUGGUACCUCUGUCUUUCCCAAGUUUUUUUUUUUUUUUUGGUAGCAAUUUGCUGUUAUGACUGAAUAGGGUGUCUGGUGCUUGUCCUUGGGUGCCUUUCAUCUAAGAUCUCCAAGCACUUAACAAUAAGUCACUGGGCUUCACAAACAUUAAGGUGACAUGACUGUGUCAUUAGUCAGGAUUUAUGAGAGAGGAAAUAAACUGCUGGAUGCAGAGGCUCAAGGUCCUGGGAGUCAGACUUGUUCAAGGACCCAAGUCUCAGUGUUCUUGUUCUUUGUCUUCCACCUAGAAUUUUAAGAGCUAGAGAAAAGUCCAUCUCAGCUGAAAUUAUAAUGACUUCCACUAAUUGAGCGCUUAUAAUGUGCUAAAACUGUGCUAAGAGUUUUUCCAUUUACUAAACAUUUACUAAUUAUAGAAGGUCCUAUAAUUAUCCCCAUUAUACAUAUGAUGAAGAACAAGGCACAGAUAAUUAAAUGACUUACCUGGGAUCAUUUAACCAGUACAUGGCAGAAUCAGGAUUCCAGCAUGACUUGUCAGUACACCAUACCCCUAUCCCAGAAACUCCUGGUAGAUGAUAUUAUCCCCCACUGUUCUGAGGAAUAGGGAAAUGAGCUAAACAGGAGAUAAAUACUCCUAGAGCAUUUAUGUGAAGGUUGGAAGAGUUGUGAAACAGAUUCAUUCAACAAAUACGUGUCAAGCACUAAACUAGGAAGUCAAUAAAUUUUGUUGAAAGAAUCAAUACAAAUGUAGAUAAUUUGAAGGAUGGAAUGGAUUUGAAUAAUUCGAAAGGACAAGGUCUAGGGAGGUUUAAACUUAUUACAGAUGGAAGCAAAAAUUCUGAAGUGGGAAUGUUUUUACUGGCAUUGAGGAGGUCCCAUAAGAGUAGGAUUUUUUUUUCAAACUAAGAUUAUUGGCAAUUACUGAAGUAUUAUAUUGAGAAGUAAAACAUUGUGUUCUUUUUUAAAAUAUUGUUUUCUGUGGUCUGGGGAGGUGGUGCAGUGAAUAAACCGUUGGACUCUCAAGCAUGAGGUCCAGAGUUCAAUCCCUGACAGCACAUGUGCCAGAGUGAUGUCUGGUUCUUUCCCUUC